rnacentral:tRNA from 3 species
GUUAAACUCUACUAUUAAGGG